CGGGAGCGAGGGAGGAGGAAGCGGCCGCGGCGCGUUCCCGCCUGCGCGGCCGGCGGCGCCCCUGGGCCCGCGCUCGUGCGCCGGGUACCGGCUGCGCCGACCGCGGCGGGGGAGGCCCAGAACGGUCCCCGCCGGGGUGGCCUCCCCGCCGACUUCUGGGACCUUCUGGCGCAGGACAGCCCCGGGGGUUCUGCCAGGAGCUCAAAGGCCCCGGGGGCAUCUCAGGUGCGUCCCGCGUUCCCCAGAGCAAAUGCCAGAGGUCGGCGCCACCCCACAGGCCGUCAGGAUGACGUCAGAGGCCGCUGGCGGUGAAGGAGUGUUUUGAUGGGGCCAGGCCUGCCGCGUGCUGGGUGUUCACGCACCCAAAGCGCUGGGGAAAGGAGUUGCCUCGUGGCUACCCCUGCUGGCUGGAGCAGCCCGGUAUCUGACCUACUGCUGCCAGCAGGCCCGGUGCGGGAAGGGAGCCUCCAGCCUCAGUGCACUACGAAAGCCGAAAGCCGAAGGAAGCUCCGUACCCAGGAGCAGACUUGUUCUGAGCGCUUGCAGAGGCACUGCUCUGGGUGGGCAUUGGCCUGGCCGUUAAGCUGCGGCUUGGGAGUCCUGCGUCCCAGAUCAGAGCCUGGGUUGGAGUCCCCACUCGGCUUCCACUUCCUGCUUCCAGCUAAGGUGCACCCGGGAAGGCUCAAGUAGGCGGAUUCCUGUCACCCACGAGGGAGACUUGGGUGGACCUCUCCGCUCCUGACUUCAGCCUGACCCAAGCCCAGCUGCUGUGGGCAUUGGGGGGAGCAAACCAACAGAUGGAAGAUUCCUCCUCCCCACUAUCUUUCAAUCAAUAAAUGAAUUAAAAAGAAAAAGGAUUCACGCUGGAUAGUGCGGCUUGGCAGGUGGAGGGCGCAGGCACCCCUGUGGUCCAACAUACAGCCCGGAUGCCUGCAGUCCCUGCCCAUCUGGGAGCCACGUGGCCCCAACUCAAACAGGUCGGCCUUGCAGAGGAAUGUGCCACACCUGUUGAGCAAAAGUACCAGAACCUUCAACCCAUCUGCCGGUGUCGCCUGGAGUGCCCGGCCAGCUUCCUCUUCCGCUGGGAGGAAGGACCCACUGUCACUUUCAGUGAUCCACUGGGGUGAGUCCUGCCGCCUGCCCAUCUGCUGGCCACGCUGUGCCUGGAACUCAUCCUGUCUUGUACUCCUUCCAGUAGGGGGUACUUCAGAAAGUCUGUGGCAAACAGAAUUAAAAGAUCAGUUGACUGUGGUGCAAAACUCUGUUGAAACCCCUGCCUGAUCUUUUUCAUAAUGCGCAUUUUCGUGAGUGUUUUGAAGGCCCCACGUGAGGCCUGCUUCAAGAUAAUGCGCGCUGCACACCAUCUAAGUGAUUAAGGCUCGCUCGUGCUUCCCAGGGAACACCCCCACAACAACGGUGGCUUUGACAGGCAGAGAUAAGGGUUUUUCCAUCAUCAUCUGGAAGAUUAAGGGAUCAGCCUGCCGAGCCGAGAGGAGGCCAAAGCCCAUCUGGGUUUUCAUUUGGAGGGAUCUGAGUUUAUCGUGUUAUGGAGUCUGGU